rnacentral:rRNA from 1 species
UGACAGGUGCUGCAUUGGCUGUCGUCAGCUCGUGUCGUGAGAUGUUCGGUUAAGUCCGCUAACGAGCGCAACCCUCGCUGUGUGUUAUAUGUGUCACACGGGACUGCCGGUCUUAAGCCGGAGGAAGGUGGGGAUGAUGUCAAGUCAGCAUGGCCUUUAUAUCCUGGGCUACACACACGCUACAAUGGCCAACACAAUAGGUUGCUAAGCCGCGAGGUGGCGCCAAUCCAUAAAGUUGGUCUCAGUUCAGAUUGUAGGCUGCAACCCGCCUGCAUGAAGAUGGAGUUGCUAGUAACCGCAGGUCAGCUAUACUGCGGUGAAUACGUUCCCGGGGCUU